AACGUCAUGGCGCUAAACCAACGCGAUUAGACAAACUCCUAACUAAAUCAAACAUGUUAUUUUCACCAAAAAUACUAAAAUAAUUUCAAAAUGUAACAAGAAAACACUAACUUUAAAAGCAGUUUUAAUCACCAGAUUGUCAUUUUGUAAUUUUUAUUUGAGUGCAAAAACUAUCCUUCCGUUGCCACUUCCGUUGUUGGGUAAAAAUAACAAAAUGUCAAGAAGUCCAAAAAGCAAGACAUAUUCAGGGAGCCUAUCAGACGCCCUAGGCAUGCAAUGGGCGCCACGCGAUCUUCCCAUGGCGCGGCGUCUUCAAACCCUUGGCGCCAUUGGAUGGAUCAGCCUGGUGCUAUUCGGGGAAGCCUUCGCCAUCUACCUGUUCUUCAAGCUGCUGUACUCGCACUACUGGUGGCUCGCCAUCAUGUACUCCGUGUGGAUGCUGAGGGAUAUCGACACGCCGGCUAGAGGGGGGCGGACGUUUGAAUGGGUCAGAAACUGGUCCUGGUGGCGUUACUACCGCGACUACUUCCCCCUCAAGCUUGUCAAAACGGCGGAACUGGAUCCUUCCAGAAACUACCUCCUCGCGUGUUUCCCACACGGUGUGGUCUGCACCGGGGCCUUCGGGGCUUUCGCUACAAAUGCCUUGGACUUCUACAAGAUAUUCCCAGGAAUGAGCUGCAAUAUGAUCACAUUGGGGGGUCAUUUUCUAGUACCUUUCUUCAGGGAUUUGAUUCUUGGGCUGGGCGCUUGCACGUCGUCAAGGGAAAGUUUGUUGUACCUGCUGGAUAAGAAGAAGCAUAAAGGGAACUGUGUGGCAUUGAUCGUUGGAGGGGCUGCUGAGGCUUUGGACUCGCAUCCUGGAGAGUACAGUGUCAUCCUGAGCAGGAGGAAGGGAUUCAUCCGUAUCGCGAUGACAUCAGGAGCGCCCCUAGUGCCAGUAUUCUCAUUCGGCGAGCCCGACGUGUUCCGGCCGCUGAACAACCCUCAGGACAGCUGGCUGAGACGGUUCCAGGAAUCGGUACGGCGGUGGACCGGCAUUUCGCCCAUGUUCCCCGUGGGCCGCGGCGUAUUUCAAUACAAUUUCGGCGUGGUGCCGCUCCGUGCACCUGUCACCACUGUAGUCGGCACCCCCAUGGAGGUCAAAAAAAAUCUGGAACCGACCGACGCUGAAGUGGACGCAGUUCACGCGGAGUUUACCCAGAGACUCGUGGAUCUCUUCGAAGCGGAGAAGCACAAGUACUUGAAGAACUCGGAGAAUACGCAUCUGGUCAUUACGUAACGUGAAUAUUUUACAAGCCAUCCUGGAGAAGCAGAAGAAGACGACAAGUAAAUGCGAUUCAACUAGGAGCCUCUCCAGCAUUCUCUCGUUUACGGAUUCAAUUUCAUCUGCAAGUUCCCGAUUUUCAUCGUCAAUAAGCCAUUCAAGAAUUGAUUCUUCAUUCUGCAGAUCGCCUUCAAAAAGCAGUGGAUUGCCGUUCCUAAAAUAAGAAAAAUACAACGAUGUGGUCGUUUUCAGCGAGGAUCUUCUCCAGCAUCCUGGAGUUGACCUCCUCGAUUUUGCCGGGGAUCUCAAGGGUGUCUUCGUCCGUCAGCCAUGACAGCACUUCAUCCUCGUCUUCGAUGUCACCUGGAAUUACCAAUUUAAUAAUUUUUAUUGACGAAUAUAAAUAAUACUUCGUCUUCCUUUGUAUUCGAAGGUACAACCAUCAAACAGAGGACAAAAUAUGAAAUGGUAGUCAAAUUUGGUAAUCCGUUCAUAUAAAUAUAUAUAUAUAUUUUUUUAAUUUAUGACUAAUUUAAUUAUGCUGAUGGACAAAUAAUAGUUUGUACACCCAAGGUGUACUCGUAAUAAGUCAAUUCAACAAGUCGAUAAUCAACUGAACAAAUUAUACAAAAAUUAAAAAGUAGGUACUUACUCGGUUGUCAAAUAACUUACUUGACAUAAAUUUUAUAAGCUAACUACAUAAGGACAAUUUUCUGUGUAGCCCAAGUUUGAGUACGGAAAUAUUUCAACAAGACUUAUUUCAAACACAAUAAUGGCUACGAUUACUGACCCUUGUAAAUGAGUGGGUCCUUGUUCCUGAAGAACACGAGCGUGGGGAAGGUCUUGAUGCCGUACUUCUUGGCGAGCGCCAGGUCCUCAGUGGUGACGAAGAUGAUGCCCGUUUCGUCCAGCUCGUCGUCGAUGUUCUCCAGCUCGUCCAGAAUGUUGUCGCAUUCAUCACCUUCUUCACAGUUGCCGCCUGGAAUUAAUUGGUUUUUGAUUAGAUAUUUUGCUUAAUUUCUUAUUGUUGACUAUAUUUAUUUUUAACCUCUAUAAUGCCUAAAAAAAAUAUCAUACCACCAUACUUUAAAAUAAAGUUUAAUUAAGAAUUUGUUACUGCAAGAUUAAACGAGGAUAUAUAGUUUAAUCGGGAAGCCAACGUAUUGCCGUUGAAUUGGUAUAUACCUUAAAUGGGCAUUAAUUAAUGCACGUUUAUAUCUCUAUCCUGCGCCUGAUGUCAGCAGUUGAACACGACGCUCUGCAAAGAGUACAACGACAAAGAAGAAGAUAUCUCUAUCACUACACAAAUUAUGUAAAAAUCUACUUACUGAAAUAAACGACCACAUAUUCGUGCUCUUCGAUAAGAUCAGUCAAUAUCUCAUCAGUAACCUCCUCGAUGGUAGCGCUGUUCUUCUGUUCAAUGAGCCACUCCAAUACUUCAUCUUCAUUCAUUAGGUCACCUUCGUAGAUAGCGGGGAUGUUCUCUUCGAAGUAUACGAGAGUCGGCAGAUGGUCAAUACCGAAUUCUUUAGCUUCAUUCUCGUUGUCCAUUCGCACAAUAACGAUACCUUCCUUUUCUAGUUCAUCAUCAAUAUUCUCUAGUUCGUUGAGGAUUCUUAUGUCUUGUUUGUCCUCUUUGUCGU